UUAAGUUCAGCGGGUAGUCCUACCUGAUUUGAGGUCAAAUAGUCAAAAGUUGUCCAUUGAUGGACAAUUAGAAGCUGAACAGACAGAGAGCAGCCUUUGUCUUGGGCGUAGAUAAUUAUCACACCGGUGACUGACCGCAAACGGUUCCGCUAAUGCAUUUCAGGGGAGCUGACCUCAAAAGAGGCCUGCAGUACCCCCAA
rnacentral:misc_RNA from 1 species